GCCCUUUUAGCUCAAUUGGUAGAGCAACUGAUUUGUAAUCAGUAGGUUAUUGGUUCAAGUCCAGUAAAGGGCACCA
rnacentral:tRNA from 1 species